rnacentral:sRNA from 1 species
GCCCAGUUUUCAAACAGGAAUUGCCAACGAAAGUCAACAAAUCCCAGGAGCGCAGCGCGGUGUUCUCGGCGCUGGGAAAGGUUCCUGAAAAAAUGUCAGAAAUUCCAGCUGUAAACAAAAACGUAUAAAAUAGAAUUGGCGCCCGCUGACAAUAUCCAUAUCCGACAGCCGAAGCCAAAAUUAUUUACAAUAACAGCUAGCCAUAAGUCGUGGCGAUUUCGAUUUGCAUUUUAUUCGGAGCGUUGGCGUUUACGGCCACAAGGACACUUUCCACUUGCUAAUCUAAACAUAGGAAAAGUACGGCGGGAAAACACGAAAAAACAGAGGUGUGGUGGCACAUAAAAUUAUGGAAAAUCCCAAACGUAAAAGUUGUCACGGGCAGGCAAAGCCACAGAAAUGAGUUAGCACGUUUUUCGGAAUUAAAAACGCUGCAAAGGCAAACAACACAAAAGGCAAAUAGAAGCUCGACGGGCAGCAAAGAAAAGCGUCUGAGCAAGAAGAGGAAUAAGGAAACAAAAUACGACAGUAAAUUUCCCAGUUGAUGGAAGCAGCGUGCUGACCCACGUUGCCCAAAUUUACUUUAAUGCGGCUGAAGAUUUAAAUUUAUUAGACGAGCGGAGCAAACUAAUUUAUGCGAGCGACCACAAAAUGGCAGCGGAAACGGAAGUGGCGCCUACCAACGCUGGGCGUGGCCAUGCAGCUGGGCGGGAGUCCACCGCCUGUCAACAAAUUGUGCGGAGUCCGUGGUCAGUAAGGCAGAAACUUAAAGAUGAGCAGAAACAGACCGAAAUGAGUUCCAGUUAAUACACUUAGCAGUGUUGCGCAUUUGGCUUCUUUACAGCUGGUCGUAAAUUAUGAGCUGGUGGCUGUACUUGGAAACCUAAAUUUCCAUAUACUUUUUGACUGACUUUAGUUCUUUGUAUGGCUGGAAGCCAUGUUUGUGUUCUGUGUGCGCCAACACUAACCCAUCAAGCAGGUUCUUAUGUCCUUGAACAAAUUUUCCGCCCUGACUGUAUCUCUCGACUUAAAAAACACAAAUGCAGCGCCCGGGGCUGCUGUUCAUUUGGUGUAACCAAGUCGAGUGCUUUUCCUGCUCCGCACUUUCCUCAAACAAAAGCUCAUUAAAGGACCUCAGCCUCAUUUUCGUUGCUCGGCAGCUGCUUCGUUUGUCAUGUUCCGCCGCUAAGUGAAAUGUUGUGCCAUUUGCAAGUUGAGUGAGUUGGUCUCUCCUGCGGUCUGAGUUUGCUUUAGAUUCAGAUACAGCAAACCCUGCAGAUAUCCUGCACGACUUGUGGCGGAUGCGUAAAUCGGGUCACGGACAUAAUAACAAUAAACCCGAAUUGUUCAGUUGAUUAAUUCAAACGGGAGCUGGAAAGAAUUUGCGGUCACUUCGGUGGCAGUUCCUUCAACUCGCCUUCAACUCGCCUCUUUGUGCGUGUCAAUGACUGUGGGUCGACGUCUCUGGAAAUCAAUCUGGAUGCCAUGCGCUCAUUGAAAUCGAAAGGCGGCACGUAGGCGUCGAGUAAACAACGGGCAUUCGAAAACGUCAGGAGUUAAAGAGUUUGCUAGUUCUACAAGUUCUGAAUGGGACUUUCUGGUGAUAAAUGUUAACAGCAUCUGCAGCUGGCAAACUACACUCCCCAGAUAAUUGGCAAACUGGUCAGGUGUGAGUGCACCGAAAGAAAAAAAGGACUAUAGUUCAGCCAGCAUUAUCCAUAGGAUACUAUGGUUUGAAUUCACUUUUAGAUGACUGUCAUCCGCUUGACUUCCACGAAAUGUCAGACCCAAAAUGUUUCAGUACUUUUAUCGCACAUCCGCAGCAAUUUGGUUGUGGUCAGUUCUCGUUCCAUUUUCGUCCUUUUUUGAUGCAGGUCCUUGGGCCUCGUACCUUGGAGAAAUCUGCGUAAUGGCGAAGUGACGGAAAAGCCAGUUUGCAUUUUUCAAGAGCUUUCAGCUCAGGCCGGCCCAAGUGUUUUCCUUCAAUUUUCUACCCGCUUCGUGGGCGGUAAUUUUUCUUGGCUUUAGUCUUGACGGCUAGGCAUAUUAAUUAAAAGCAACAGCUGCAUAAUUUAGAAGCGCGGCGGUAGAAUAAUUUAAUCAAUGCCCUUGGCCCUGCAGGUGUUCCUACGGGGCGUAUACGUAAUUCAGUAAUUCAGUAAUUCACUUGCUAAAUCAAAUGAUAAAAGUGUUGGAUAAAGGUACAAAUUAGUCCCGAAUGCAAGUUUGCUGGUUGCUCAUGCAAAAUUAAUUAUCCUGCCUGUGAAGUCGUUUCGCGAAACUUUUCCACUGAGAGCUUGUUAACUGCUUGUAAAUUAUUAAGUAGAGCGUAUAACUCAAUUAAAAGAAAAAUUUCCAAAAAUAAAUCAGUUUUGUUUGCAGAACUUAUUCCU